rnacentral:rRNA from 1 species
AGGACGAACGCUGGCGGCGUGCUUAACACAUGCAAGUCAAGGGGGCCCAGCAAUGGGCAACCGGCGAACGGGUGCGUAACACGUGAGCAACCUACCGAACUGUGGGGGAUAGCCGGCCUAACGGCCGAGUAAUACCGCAUACGCUCUCAGGGAGGCAUUUCUUUGAGAGGAAACCUACGGGACAGGAUCGAGGGGCUCGCGGCCUAUCAGCUAGUUGGCGAGGUAACGGCUCACCAAGGCAACGACGGGUAGCUAGGUCUGAGAGGAUGGCCAGCCACGAUUGGGACUGAGAUACGGCCCAGACUCCUACGGGAGGCAGCAGUGGGGAAUCUGCGCAAUGGCCUAACGGCUGACGCAGCGACGCCGCGUGUGGGAUGGAAGCGUACGUUCGGAGUGUAAACCCACGUGUUCGACCCGGUACGAAUAGCGUACGAUUAAGCGAG